rnacentral:rRNA from 1 species
GAUGAACGCUGGCGGCGUGCCUAAUACAUGCAAGUCGAGCGAACAGACGAGGAGCUUGCUCCUCUGACGUUAGCGGCGGACGGGUGAGUAACACGUGGAUAACCUACCUAUAAGACUGGGAUAACUUCGGGAAACCGGAGCUAAUACCGGAUAAUAUAUUGAACCGCAUGGUUCAAUAGUGAAAGACGGUUUUGCUGUCACUUAUAGAUGGAUCCGCGCCGCAUUAGCUAGUUGGUAAGGUAACGGCUUACCACGGCAACGAUGCGUAGCCGACCUGAGAGGGUGAUCGGACACACUGGAACUUAGACACGGUCCAGACUCCUAAGGGAGGCAGCAGUAGGGAAUAUUCCGCAAUGGGCGAAAGCUUGACGGAGCAACGCCGCGUGAGUGAUGAAGGUCUUCGGAUCGUAAAACUCUGUUAUUAGGGAAGAACAAAUGUGUAAGUAACUAUGAACGUCUUGACGGUACCUAAUCAGAAAGCCACGGCUAACUACGUG